UUAAGUUAUUAAGGGCGCACGGUGGAUGCCUUGGCACUAGAAGCCGAUGAAGGACGUUACUAACGACGAUAUGCUUUGGGGAGCUGUAAGUAAGCUUUGAUCCAGAGAUUUCCGAAUGGGGAAACCCAGCAUGAGUUAUGUCAUGUUAUCGAUAUGUGAAUACAUAGCAUAUCAGAAGGCACACCCGGAGAACUGAAACAUCUUAGUACCCGGAGGAAGAGAAAGAAAAUUCGAUUCCCUUAGUAGCGGCGAGCGAAACGGGAAGAGCCCAAACCAACAAGCUUGCUUGUUGGGGUUGUAGGACACUCUAUACGGAGUUACAAAGGACGACAUUAGACGAAUCAUCUGGAAAGAUGAAUCAAAGAAGGUAAUAAUCCUGUAGUCGAAAAUGUUGUCUCUCUUGAGUGGAUCCUAAGUACGACGGAGCACGUGAAAUUCCGUCGGAAUCUGGGAGGACCAUCUCCUAAGGCUAAAUACUCUCUAGUGACCGAUAGUGAACCAGUACCGUGAGGGAAAGGUGAAAAGCACCCCGGAAGUGGAGUGAAAUAGAACCUGAAACCGUGUGCUUACAAGUAGUCAGAGCCCGUUAAUGGGUGAUGGCGUGCCUUUGUAGAAUGAACCGGCGAGUUACGAUUUGAUGCAAGGUUAAGCAGUAAAUGUGGAGCCGUAGCGAAAGCGAGUCUGAAUAGGGCGUUUAGUAUUUGGUCGUAGACCCGAAACCAGGUGAUCUACCCUUGGUCAGGUUGAAGUUCAGGUAACACUGAAUGGAGGACCGAACCGACUUACGUUGAAAAGUGAGCGGAUGAACUGAGGGUAGCGGAGAAAUUCCAAUCGAACCUGGAGAUAGCUGGUUCUCUCCGAAAUAGCUUUAGGGCUAGCCUCAAGUGAUGAUUAUUGGAGGUAGAGCACUGUUUGGACGAGGGGCCCCUCUCGGGUUACCGAAUUCAGACAAACUCCGAAUGCCAAUUAAUUUAACUUGGGAGUCAGAACAUGGGUGAUAAGGUCCGUGUUCGAAAGGGAAACAGCCCAGACCACCAGCUAAGGUCCCAAAAUAUAUGUUAAGUGGAAAAGGAUGUGGCGUUGCCCAGACAACUAGGAUGUUGGCUUAGAAGCAGCCAUCAUUUAAAGAGUGCGUAAUAGCUCACUAGUCGAGUGACACUGCGCCGAAAAUGUACCGGGGCUAAACAUAUUACCGAAGCUGUGGAUUGUCCUUUGGACAAUGGUAGGAGAGCGUUCUAAGGGCGUUGAAGCAUGAUCGUAAGGACAUGUGGAGCGCUUAGAAGUGAGAAUGCCGGUGUGAGUAGCGAAAGACGGGUGAGAAUCCCGUCCACCGAUUGACUAAGGUUUCCAGAGGAAGGCUCGUCCGCUCUGGGUUAGUCGGGUCCUAAGCUGAGGCCGACAGGCGUAGGCGAUGGAUAACAGGUUGAUAUUCCUGUACCACCUAUAAUCGUUUUAAUCGAUGGGGGACGCAGUAGGAUAGGCGAAGCGUGCGAUUGGAUUGCACGUCUAAGCAGUAAGGCUGAGUAUUAGGCAAAUCCGGUACUCAUUAAGGCUGAGCUGUGAUGGGGAGAAGACAUUGUGUCUUCGAGUCGUUGAUUUCACACUGCCGAGAAAAGCCUCUAGAUAGAAAAUAGGUGCCCGUACCGCAAACCGACACAGGUAGUCAAGAUGAGAAUUCUAAGGUGAGCGAGCGAACUCUCGUUAAGGAACUCGGCAAAAUGACCCCGUAACUUCGGGAGAAGGGGUGCUCUUUAGGGUUAACGCCCAGAAGAGCCGCAGUGAAUAGGCCCAAGCGACUGUUUAUCAAAAACACAGGUCUCUGCUAAACCGUAAGGUGAUGUAUAGGGGCUGACGCCUGCCCGGUGCUGGAAGGUUAAGAAGAGUGGUUAGCUUCUGCGAAGCUACGAAUCGAAGCCCCAGUAAACGGCGGCCGUAACUAUAACGGUCCUAAGGUAGCGAAAUUCCUUGUCGGGUAAGUUCCGACCCGCACGAAAGGCGUAACGAUUUGGGCACUGUCUCAACGAGAGACUCGGUGAAAUCAUAGUACCUGUGAAGAUGCAGGUUACCCGCGACAGGACGGAAAGACCCCGUGGAGCUUUACUGUAGCCUGAUAUUGAAAUUCGGCACAGCUUGUACAGGAUAGGUAGGAGCCUUUGAAACGUGAGCGCUAGCUUACGUGGAGGCGCUGGUGGGAUACUACCCUAGCUGUGUUGGCUUUCUAACCCGCACCACUUAUCGUGGUGGGAGACAGUGUCAGGCGGGCAGUUUGACUGGGGCGGUCGCCUCCUAAAAGGUAACGGAGGCGCUCAAAGGUUCCCUCAGAAUGGUUGGAAAUCAUUCAUAGAGUGUAAAGGCAUAAGGGAGCUUGACUGCGAGACCUACAAGUCGAGCAGGGUCGAAAGACGGACUUAGUGAUCCGGUGGUUCCGCAUGGAAGGGCCAUCGCUCAACGGAUAAAAGCUACCCCGGGGAUAACAGGCUUAUCUCCCCCAAGAGUUCACAUCGACGGGGAGGUUUGGCACCUCGAUGUCGGCUCAUCGCAUCCUGGGGCUGUAGUCGGUCCCAAGGGUUGGGCUGUUCGCCCAUUAAAGCGGUACGCGAGCUGGGUUCAGAACGUCGUGAGACAGUUCGGUCCCUAUCCGUCGUGGGCGUAGGAAAUUUGAGAGGAGCUGUCCUUAGUACGAGAGGACCGGGAUGGACAUACCUCUGGUGUACCAGUUGUCGUGCCAACGGCAUAGCUGGGUAGCUAUGUGUGGACGGGAUAAGUGCUGAAAGCAUCUAAGCAUGAAGCCCCCCUCAAGAUGAGAUUUCCCAACUUCGGUUAUAAGAUCCCUCAAAGAUGAUGAGGUUAAUAGGUUCGAGGUGGAAGCAUGGUGACAUGUGGAGCUGACGAAUACUAAUCGAUCGAAGACUUAAUCAA
rnacentral:rRNA from 1 species